GAGACGGGCAAGGAACGGGAGAAGGGGCUGCAGCCAGCGGUGGACGCACUUCUGUUAAUCUUGGAGUCUACUUGAGACCACAAGGCUGCGUCAGAGUAUCGCUGAAUGGAAAGGUG
rnacentral:lncRNA from 1 species